rnacentral:rRNA from 1 species
UACAGAGGUGGCAAGCGUUGUUCGGAAUUACUGGGCGUAAAGGGCGCAUAGGCGGCCAUCUAAGUCAGACGUGAAAUCCCCCGGCUUAACCUGGGAACUGCGUCUGAUACUGGAAGGCUUGAGUAUGGGAGAGGGAUGUAGAAUUCCAGGUGUAGCGGUGAAAUGCGUAGAUAUCUGGAGGAAUACCGGUGGCGAAGGCGGCAUCCUGGACCAUUACUGACGCUGAGGCGCGAAAGCUAGGGGAGCAAACGGG